rnacentral:rRNA from 1 species
GAUGAACGCUGACAGAAUGCUUAACACAUGCAAGUCAACUUGAACUUCGGUUUGGGUGGCGGACGGGUGAGUAACGCGUAAAGAACUUGCCUCACAGAUAGGGACAACAUUUGGAAACGAAUGCUAAUACCUGAUAUUAUGAUUUUAGGGCAUCCUAGAAUUAUGAAAGCUAUAUGCGCUGUGAGAGAGCUUUGCGUCCCAUUAGCUAGUUGGAGAGGUAACGGCUCACCAAGGCGAUGAUGGGUAGCCGGCCUGAGAGGGUGAACGGCCACAAGGGGACUGAGACACGGCCCUUACUCCUACGGGAGGCAGCAGUGGGGAAUAUUGGACAAUGGACCAAGAGUCUGAUCCAGCAAUUCUGUGUGCACGAUGAAGUUUUUCGGAAUGUAAAGUGCUUUCAGUUGGGAAGAAAAAAAUGACGGUACCAACAGAAGAAGUGACGGCUAAAUACGUGCCAGCAGCCGCGGUAAUACGUAUGUCACAAGCGUUAUCCGGAUUUAUUGGGCGUAAAGCGCGUCUAGGUGGUUAUAUAAGUCUGAUGUGAAAAUGCAGGGCUCAACUCUGUAUUGCGUUGGAAACUGUGUAACUAGAGUACUGGAGAGGUAAGCGGAACUACAAGUGUAGAGGUGAAAUUCGUAGAUAUUUGUAGGAAUGCCGAUGGGGAAGCCAGCUUACUGGACAGAUACUGACGCUGAAGCGCGAAAGCGUGGGUAGCAAACAGG